GGGUUGUGAGGUUAAGCGACUAAGCGUACACGGUGGAUGCCCGGCAGUCAGAGGCGAUGAAGGGCGUGCUAAUCUGCGAUAAGCGCCGGUAAGGUGAUAUGAACCGUUAUAACCGGCGAUACCCGAAUGGGGAAACCCAGUGUGAUUCGUCACACUAUCAUUAACUGAAUCCAUAGGUUAAUGAGGCGAACCGGGGAACUGAAACAUCUAAGUACCCCGAGGAAAAGAAAUCAACCGAGAUUCCCCCAGUAGCGGCGAGCGAACGGGGAGGAGCCCAGAGCCUGAAUCAGCAUGUGUGUUAGUGGAAGCGUCUGGAAAGGCGCGCGAUACAGGGUGACAGCCCCGUACACAAAAGCGCAUGUGCUGUGAGCUCGAUGAGUAGGGCGGGACACGUGGUAUCCUGUCUGAAUAUGGGGGACCAUCCUCCAAGGCUAAAUACUCCUGACUGACCGAUAGUGAACCAGUACCGUGAGGGAAAGGCGAAAGAACCCCGGCGAGGGGAGUGAAAAAGAACCUGAAACCGUGUACGUACAAGCAGUGGGAGCACCCUUCGGGGUGUGACUGCGUACCUUUUGUAUAAUGGGUCAGCGACUUAUAUUCUGUAGCAAGGUUAACCGUAUAGGGGAGCCGCAGGGAAACCGAGUCUUAACCGGGCGUUAAGUUGCAGGGUAUAGACCCGAAACCCGGUGAUCUAGCCAUGGGCAGGUUGAAGGUUGGGUAACACUAACUGGAGGACCGAACCGACUAAUGUUGAAAAAUUAGCGGAUGACCUGUGGCUGGGGGUGAAAGGCCAAUCAAACCGGGAGAUAGCUGGUUCUCCCCGAAAGCUAUUUAGGUAGCGCCUCGUGAAUUCAUCUCCGGGGUAGAGCACUGUUUCGGCUAGGGGGCCAUCCCGGCUUACCAACCCGAUGCAAACUGCGAAUACCGGAGAAUGUUAUCACGGGAGACACACGGCGGGUGCUAACGUCCGUCGUGAAGAGGAAACAACCCAGACCGCCAGCUAAGGUCCCAAAGUCAUGGUUAAGUGGGAAACGAUGUGGGAAGGCCCAGACAGCCGGGAUGUUGGCUUAGAAGCAGCCAUCAUUUAAAGAAAGCGUAAUAGCUCACUGGUCGAGUCGGCCUGCGCGGAAGAUGUAACGGGGCUAAACCAUGCACCGAAGCUGCGGCAGCGACGCUUAUGCGUUGUUGGGUAGGGGAGCGUUCUGUAAGCCUGCGAAGGUGGCCUGUGAGGGUUGCUGGAGGUAUCAGAAGUGCGAAUGCUGACAUAAGUAACGAUAAAGCGGGUGAAAAGCCCGCUCGCCGGAAGACCAAGGGUUCCUGUCCAACGUUAAUCGGGGCAGGGUGAGUCGACCCCUAAGGCGAGGCCGAAAGGCGUAGUCGAUGGGAAACGGGUUAAUAUUCCCGUACUUGGUGUUACUGCGAAGGGGGACGGAGAAGGCUAUGUUGGCCGGGCGACGGUUGUCCCGGUUUAAGCGUGUAGGUGUGUGUUCGGUAAAUCCGGUUCACUUUAACACUGAGGCGUGACGACGAGGCACUACGGUGCUGAAGCAACAAAUGCCCUGCUUCGGAAAAGCCUCUAAGCAUCAGGUAACAUCAAAUCGUACCCCAAACCGACACAGGUGGUCAGGUAGAGAAUACCAAGGCGCUUGAGAGAACUCGGGUGAAGGAACUAGGCAAAAUGGUGCCGUAACUUCGGGAGAAGGCACGCUGACACGUAGGUGAAGUGAUUUACUCAUGGAGCUGAAGUCAGUCGAAGAUACCAGCUGGCUGCAACUGUUUAUUAAAAACACAGCACUGUGCAAACACGAAAGUGGACGUAUACGGUGUGACGCCUGCCCGGUGCCGGAAGGUUAAUUGAUGGGGUCAGCGCAAGCGAAGCUCCUGAUCGAAGCCCCGGUAAACGGCGGCCGUAACUAUAACGGUCCUAAGGUAGCGAAAUUCCUUGUCGGGUAAGUUCCGACCUGCACGAAUGGCGUAAUGAUGGCCAGGCUGUCUCCACCCGAGACUCAGUGAAAUUGAACUCGCUGUGAAGAUGCAGUGUACCCGCGGCAAGACGGAAAGACCCCGUGAACCUUUACUAUAGCUUGACACUGAACAUUGAGCCUUGAUGUGUAGGAUAGGUGGGAGGCUUUGAAGUGUGGACGCCAGUCUGCGUGGAGCCGACCUUGAAAUACCACCCUUUAAUGUUUGAUGUUCUAACGUGGACCCGUGAUCCGGGUUGCGGACAGUGUCUGGUGGGUAGUUUGACUGGGGCGGUCUCCUCCUAAAGAGUAACGGAGGAGCACGAAGGUUGGCUAAUCCUGGUCGGACAUCAGGAGGUUAGUGCAAUGGCAUAAGCCAGCUUGACUGCGAGCGUGACGGCGCGAGCAGGUGCGAAAGCAGGUCAUAGUGAUCCGGUGGUUCUGAAUGGAAGGGCCAUCGCUCAACGGAUAAAAGGUACUCCGGGGAUAACAGGCUGAUACCGCCCAAGAGUUCAUAUCGACGGCGGUGUUUGGCACCUCGAUGUCGGCUCAUCACAUCCUCGGGGCUGAAGUAGGUCCCAAGGGUAUGGCUGUUCGCCAUUUAAAGUGGUACGCGAGCUGGGUUUAGAACGUCGUGAGACAGUUCGGUCCCUAUCUGCCGUGGGCGCUGGAGAACUGAGGGGGGCUGCUCCUAGUACGAGAGGACCGGAGUGGACGCAUCACUGGUGUUCGGGUUGUCAUGCCAAUGGCACUGCCCGGUAGCUAAAUGCGGAAGAGAUAAGUGCUGAAAGCAUCUAAGCACGAAACUUGCCCCGAGAUGAGUUCUCCCUGAGACUUUAGGUCUCCUGAAGGAACGUUGAAGACGACGACGUUGAUAGGCCGGGUGUGUAAGCGCAGCGAUGCGUUGAGCUAACCGGUACUAAUGAACCGUGAGGCUUAACCUUACAACGCCGAAG
rnacentral:rRNA from 1 species